GAUGAACGCUGGCGGCGUGCUUAACACAUGCAAGUCGAACGGAGAUGAUUAGGACGAAGUUUUCGGACAAGUGAAUUAAUAGUUUAGUGGCGGACGGGUGAGUAACGCGUGAGUAACCUGCCUUGGAGUGGGGAAUAACAGUUGGAAACGAGUGCUAAUACCGCAUAAUAUGUCUGUAUCGCAUGGUACUGGACAUCAAAGAUUUAUCGCUUUGAGAUGGACUCGCGUCUGAUUAGCUAGUUGGUGAGGUAAUGGCUCACCAAGGCGACGAUCAGUAGCCGGACUGAGAGGUUGACCGGCCACAUUGGGACUGAGACACGGCCCAGACUCCUACGGGAGGCAGCAGUGGGGAAUAUUGGGCAAUGGGCGCAAGCCUGACCCAGCAACGCCGCGUGAAGGAAGAAGGCUUUCGGGUUGUAAACUUCUUUUAUCAGGGACGAAACAAAUGACGGUACC
rnacentral:rRNA from 1 species